UGGAGUUUGCUUCUCUCUGUCUACCAGAACCCAAAUGUAUUGACCUUUGGAUCAUGCUGCAAAGCUCAUUUUUUCCCCCCAGGCUUUUUUCUGGGAGUAGAUCAAACUGGAUGGCAGAAGAAUCCUGAGGAAUGUGGGGCUGUUUAGAAGAACAGUGGUGAUUAAUGAAGAAGGCAUUUCCUGGCAGUUUAUGCCCAAGGCCAGUCCAUCUUCUCAAUAAAGACACGAGGAGUUGACUUCAGUGGAAGCAGAAACAUGGAACUAUAUUUGGCAGCCC